UCGCUCCGUGUCGCCCGGGCGGCGUCCUGUCCCGGCUUCCAGGGCACAGCCGGAGGCCCCGCGACUUCCUCCGUCUCAGCGUCUGCUCGUCGCCCUUAUUUUCGCGAGUUCGUCCCGAAGCGGCUGCCAUCUGUCCCCACUCCCUUCACCUUUCCACCCAGCCCCCAACGCCCGCUCUGGCCACCCUGGGGCAGUCCAGCUCCUUUUCAUUCAUUCAUAAGCUAAGAAUGAGGCUGGAAUGAGCACCAUGGUAAAUAGUGUUCAGAUUACGUGAGAUGCUCAGGGUGGGGGUAGGAGGGCAAUUUCUAGGUCCAAUAAUACAAAUGUAAUGGUUACAAGAAACUUUACGGAGAAGGGUAGGCGUCCUGACCCUAUCGGGUCAAAUCCACACUUGUAUGGGCUUGAUUUUUCUGUAUAUUUAGUUGUGACAAUCAGAAUGCAUAAACACACUGAAUAUAAAUAGCGAUACUAAUAACGUAUUAGUAAACGAUGUCAAUAUGAGAUUUAUUUCUCAGAUUAUACCAAAAUGGGUUGGUUGGAAGUCAGUUGUACUAUUUAAUACUAAAAGAACAUAAUCCUCGUCGACAGAGAAAUAGGAACUGUGUGUAGAGCCUGCUGACCAUUCCAGGAACUAAGGAAGCGAACAGUGUCACCAGACUAAAUGUGAGACCAGCCAGAGGGGCAUUCUCUGCACCUGAGCACUGCUGGAUGAAAGGAGACUUCUGCCAUCCGCCGUGGAGACCAGGCUGUCAAAGGCUCAGGCAGGAGACAACCUCGAAAAGGCAGGUGUGCCUCAGGUGAAGUUUCAGGAGCACGAUUUCCAAAGGAUUCUAAAGCCGGUAACAGCUCUCUGUACAGAACUUUAUCAGUCAGAACGCUGCACAAGUGGACACUCCUGAUGUUGGCCACAUUUUCUUAAACUUAAGUUUACAAGGAAUACAUAAAACUUGUGAAAUGCCGAGUCUGUCAAAUGUUACAAAAAGCAGAAGGCCCUUCCCUGCCCGCACCUCUGGGGGUGCAGCUGGAGGCACAUCCCUUCACGCCUCCGGUAAAGCACCCCGGGGUCUCUGCGCAGGUGUGUGUGCGUCAGCAGCACUCACAGCAUCACAUCCUGCACCAGGGCGGCCUGGCCGUUCACCCCGUUCCCACAACACCUCACGGGCCUAGCCACACGGGAAUGAGCCCUAGAGCCGUGGUCGGCAAACUGCGGCUCUUUGGCCC